GCUACUAAUUACCAGCAGCUCAUGAAACCUCUGUUCAUUUUUUGUUUUUAACCUUUUUACAAUGUUUAGACUCAGCAUAGGAAUAUAAACAAAAAUUCAGAGGACAUAUGCCUAGAGUAUUAACAGAUCAAAAAGGUCAUGUGUAGAAAGAACAAAACGAUUCAGUUUCUAAACAUUUGUGGAUCUCAAGCAAUGCCCAGACUGUGGAAACUUCAUCCAUGCCAACGUUCCUGGGGGUGGUGUCCACUGUCAUAAUCUGUAGGAAAAGCAGUGUGUUGUAGGAUGAAUGAUACUCAUCCACAUGAUGGUGACAUUUAAUGGCCCUGGUCUUUGCAACCCUGGGAAACAUGGCAACAAACUGAACAAGCACGAGAACAGCUGCAGCAGGCACAGCUCACCUUCAGACCCCAGAACAAGACUCAGAUCUGGGAGAGGGAGAUGGUGGAGCAGAGCAGGGAGGUCUCCUACUUGAAACACAGAACUAGAUGGGAUGAAAGGAAAGAGGCUUCCUGAGGGACGCACAAGGCAGAAACCAGUGCCUAGAAGGCCAGAGACGCAGGCCCCCCGAGGAGAGGCAAGGAGCACAUGGGCCUUUAGCAGAUCCAGAAACUGGUGUGACCUCUGUGAGUUACAGCAGCUCUGACUCUACCAAGAAUGCAGACAAAGACAAGGGCACACUCUUAUCCUGGGAGCCCACAGCCUUCGCUAUUUUCAGCCUGUCGUCUUUGUAUGAUGCACAUAGCUGUCACUUCUGUGCUGCAGGGCAGUGUGGCUCUAUGGGGACCUCCUCCAUUAACUGGAACAUUCUGCAUGCCCUACCCUGGAGGCCUACUAAUGGGCUUCUGGGCACAUCCAUCUCCUGAACCUUGGUGGCCCUGAAGACCACCCUGAGCCCCUUGAUCUACAACACUUGGUAAGAUGAUCUGGGCAGUAGGAGUUGACUUGCA